rnacentral:lncRNA from 1 species
GCGCCGACUCUCCAAGCUAUUCCAGAAGUCCCCCAUGUUCCCCUCCCUCCCUCCCUUCCUCCGCGAGUCAGGCUAAGAUUGGCUGGUCCUUUACUCAGGCGGUCUGUCAUAGUCUGUCUCCCGGAAAGGGACCCAGGAACACAUUCCUUGAAAGUGAAACGGGAUCUUCCUCCUCCUCCCAUGGCAGACGAUGAGGUGAUGAGCGCAGGGCUGCAGGGUAUCCGGGACAGGUGUAUUUACGCCACAGUUACAUAAGGCAGUAGGAAAGUAUCAUGGACGCGCUGUACAUAUUGUUUAUGAUCAGGCGUAACUUGACAUGUCUACGCUGAGAAGAACCGUACGUAGCGGGCGGUCGACACAAUAUAAUCUAUUCAGGCUCUGGUCUUGGAUCAUCCGGACUUCUCUCUGGUAGUGUGGAAGCUGCGGAGAAAGACCAAGCGGGCUAAAAGCGGAGCAUCGUCUUGCCCAUAACGGCAGAAGAACCGGAAAACCGGAUGAGGGUUAGGAUGAGAUUAACUGUGUCACUUCAGGAUCUCAAUAAAAAUGUACUUUCAUCAUUAAGUAUAUUUACACAAACUCUGAAUUUUACUUGUUGCGGUGCUGGGACAGGAUACACAAAAUCUACCCAAAGCUGAAAUGUGGAAAUGCUGUGGGCAUCUGGAUCUCCGAGUAGAUGAGGAAGACAAUCACCUCCACUUGGUUCUGUGAUCUGGACUGCGAUAGGCACUGGGAUAAACAACCACUGUUUAAUAACCCAACAGCUUUGAGAAACCAAUCACCUGUGUCGUUCUCGGAAGGACAUGGUGCCGCGGGGGGCUAAUAAUAACAAGCAAAGUGGUCUGGAUCUGGAUCUGGAUCUGGAUUUGGGCUAGUGCGGCACAGACUCAAUGCUAAUCUCG